UUAUCUAUUUGGUCCUAGAAGGAGCCCAGGUUUUCUUCAGCAUUCUUGUAAUCCUUAAUUCUUUUGAAAAUUUCCUUUCUAGCUCUACUAAACCACACUCCAAGUAUCCCAGUCGCUUGUUCGCACUGACAGCCAUGUCUUUCCACUCUUUAAUCAGCUUUCGGUUGGCUUCUUGUAUCUCACGGUGCUUGCUUUCACAUUUCUGAAUCCUAUUGUGCAGUUGAUUUUAUUUGACGUGUACCUUGACACUUUUAUCUUUGAUCUUGUGACCUCAAACGAACCCGAGCUGACCUAAGCCGUUACGAUUAUCCUCCAGCCAGCCUUAAUAGUAUGGAGUACAACCGGUAUAGUAUCUAUCUAGCUCGAUGGUAUCCCUUUCCACGAUGAUCAUGCAGUGCCACAUAUGGUGAGCUUGUCACUUAUGAGGGCUAUCAUCAUCCUGGAAGUCGGCCUGGAAGUGACUCAUCUUGUCAACCCUUGGUAUAACCUGCUUCCUACCAGCUUGUCUAAUAACUCGAAGAGGGAGAUAAGGGUAGGUUCCUCUAAAACCGAUCAGAAUCAAAAAUGGUUCUUCUCUGGAUCAGAUAAUGAAACUCUUGGUAGGGAACCACUCGAAUAUCC
rnacentral:lncRNA from 1 species